rnacentral:rRNA from 1 species
UUUGAUCAUGGCUCAGGACGAACGCUGGCGGCGUGCUUAACACAUGCAAGUCGAACGAUGAAGCCCUUCGGGGUGGAUUAGUGGCGAACGGGUGAGUAACACGUGGGCAAUCUGCCCUUCACUCUGGGACAAGCCCUGGAAACGGGGUCUAAUACCGGAUAACACUCCUGCCCGCAUGGGUGGGGGUUGAAAGCUCCGGCGGUGAAGGAUGAGCCCGCGGCCUAUCAGCUUGUUGGUGAGGUAGAAGCUCACCAAGGCGACGACGGGUAGCCGGCCUGAGAGGGCGACCGGCCACACUGGGACUGAGACACGGCCCAGACUCCUACGGGAGGCAGCAGUGGGGAAUAUUGCACAAUGGGCGAAAGCCUGAUGCAGCGACGCCGCGUGAGGGAUGACGGCCUUCGGGUUGUAAACCUCU